GUGCUCAUUUUGGCAGCACAUAUACUAAAAUUGAAGUGAUAUGGAAAAGAUUAGCAUGGCCCCUGCUCAAGGAUGACAUGCAAAUUCAUGAAGUGUUCUAUAUUUUA